UACGGAGGGUGCAAGCGUUAUCCGGAUUCACUGGGUUUAAAGGGUGCGUAGGCGGGCAGGUAAGUCAGUGGUGAAAUCUUUGGGCUUAACCCGAAAACUGCCAUUGAUACUAUCUGUCUUGAAUAUUGUGGAGGUAAGCGGAAUAUGUCAUGUAGCGGUGAAAUGCUUAGAUAUGACAUAGAACACCCAUUGCGAAGGCAGCUUACUACGCAUAUAUUGACGCUGAUGCACGAAAGCGUGGGGAUCAAACAGGAUUAGAUACCCUGGUAGUCCACGCCCUAAACGAUGGAUACUCGACAUACGCGAUACACUGUGUGUGUCUGAGCGAAAGCAUUAAGUAUCCCACCUGGGAAGUACGAUCGCAAGAUUGAA
rnacentral:rRNA from 1 species